GACGAACGCUGGCGGCGUGCUUAACACAUGCAGGUCGAACGGAAAGGCCCUGCUUUUGUGGGGUGCUCGAGUGGCGAACGGGUGAGUAACACGUGAGUAACCUGCCCUUGACUUUGGGAUAACUUCAGGAAACUGGGGCUAAUACCGGAUAGGAGCUCCUGCUGCAUGGUGGGGGUUGGAAAGUUUCGGCGGUUGGGGAUGGACUCGCGGCUUAUCAGCUUGUUGGUGGGGUAGUGGCUUACCAAGGCUUUGACGGGUAGCCGGCCUGAAAGGGUGACCGGCCACAUUGGGACUGAGAUACGGCCCAGACUCCUACGGGAGGCAGCAGUGGGGAAUAUUGCACAAUGGGCGGAAGCCUGAUGCAGCAACGCCGCGUGCGGGAUGACGGCCUUCGGGUUGUAAACCGCUUUCGCCUGUGACGAAGCGUGAGUGACGGUAAUGGGUAAAGAAGCACCGGCUAACUACGUG
rnacentral:rRNA from 1 species